UACGUAGGGGGCAAGCGUUGUCCGGAAUCAUUGGGCGUAAAGAGCGUGUAGGCGGCCUGGUAAGUCCGCUGUGAAAGUCCAGGGCUCAACCCUGGAAUGCCGGUGGAAACUGUCAGGCUCGAGUCCGGAAGAGGCGAGUGGAAUUCCUGGUGUAGCGGUGAAAUGCGUAGAUAUCGGGAGGAACACCUGUGGCGAAAGCGGCUCUCUGGACCACAACUGACGCUGAGGCGCGAAAGCUAGGGGAGCAAACAGG
rnacentral:rRNA from 1 species